UACGUAGGGGGGCUAGCGUUGUCCGGAAUCAUUGGGCGUAAAGCGCGCGUAGGCGGCCCCGAUAAGUCUGCUGUGAAAGUCCAGGGCUCAACCCUGGAAUGCCGGUGGAUACUGUCGGGCUAGAGUUCGGAAGAGGCAAGUGGAAUUCCUGGUGUAGCGGUGGAAUGCGCAGAUAUCAGGAGGAACACCGGUGGCGAAGGCGGUCUCUGGCCGAUAUUGACGCUGAGGAGCGAAGCGUGGAGCAAACAGG
rnacentral:rRNA from 1 species